rnacentral:rRNA from 1 species
GGAGGAAAGCAGGGGAUCGCAAGACCUUGCGCUCAUUGAGCGGCCGAUGCCUGAUUAGCUAGUUGGUGAGGUAAAGGCUUACCAAGGCGACGAUCAGUAGCUGGUCUGAGAGGACGACCAGCCACACUGGGACUGAGACACGGCCCAGACUCCUACGGGAGGCAGCAGUGGGGAAUUUUGGACAAUGGGGGAAACCCUGAUCCAGCCAUGCCGCGUGAGUGAAGAAGGCCUUCGGGUUGUAAAGCUCUUUCAGCCGGAACGAAACGGUCACGGCUAAUACCCGUGACUACUGACGGUACCGGAAGAAGAAACACCGGCUAACUACGUGCCAGCAGCCGCGGUAAUACGUAGGGUGCGAGCGUUAAUCGGAAUUACUGGGCGUAAAGCGUGCGCAGGCGGUUUUGUAAGUCAGAAGAGAAAUCCCCGGGCUUACCCUGGGAACUGCGU